GACGAACGCUGGCGGCGUGCUUAACACAUGCAAGUCGAACGAUGAAGCCGGAGCUUGCUCCGGUGGAUUAGUGGCGAACGGGUGAGUAACACGUGAGCAAUCUGCCCUUGACUCUGGGAUAACUGCGGGAAACUGUAGCUAAUACCGGAUACGACACCUUGGGGCAUCCCAGGGUGUGGAAAGAAUUUCGGUCAAGGAUGAGCUCGCGGCAUAUCAGCUAGUUGGGGAGGUAAUGGCUCACCAAGGCGACGACGGGUAGCCGGCCUGAGAGGGUGACCGGCCACACUGGAACUGAGACACGGUCCAGACUCCUACGGGAGGCAGCAGUGGGGAAUAUUGCACAAUGGGCGAAAGCCUGAUGCAGCAACGCCGCGUGAGGGAUGAAGGCCUUCGGGUUGUAAACCUCUUUUAGCAGGGAAGAAGCGAAAGUGACGGUACCUGCAGAAAAAGCACCGGCUAACUACGUGCCAGCAGCCGCCGUAA
rnacentral:rRNA from 1 species